rnacentral:lncRNA from 1 species
ACUCCAGUGACUGCCUCUCAGAAAAGAACAGGGCAAUGUCCAUUCUCCUUUUAUUUUCUUUAAGCACCUGAUCAUUCUAAAAGCAUGUGUUCCUCCGUGUGUGUGAGUUGUGUACACGUGUGUGUGUGUUCCUUUCUUUUCUCGGACUCCAGGCUCAUGACUGCUUAUUUGCAUGGUGUUUUGGUGUCAAAGGAGUGUUGAAUGUGUUCUCCACACACCCAGCUUUAUUCCACUCUAGGAGUUUAACUUCUUCAGCAUUGUUAUGAGGUCCCCGGUGACCUCAGUUUCUCCUCUCCGCGUCAUCCAGGACUUCACCUGAAGCUUGAGCUACACGUAAGACUUCAUCUACCUUGCACAGGGCAAUGGAGAGAGGAUGGCAUACCAGAAUCACCAGAUGACAGACAUCGGGGUGCUGUCGGACCCGGGAAUCAGAACCUCUGCAGAUAGAUAUUUUGGAAGGCGCUCCCUAGAUUGGCACCUCUGGUUAGAACCCUGCCCAGGGACUGGACAAGUUGGGCCCAUGGCUCAUAUCUGGCCAGUGUUCAUUGCUUUGUUGAAUCACACUUAAUCCUUUGGUUUUGGUAGAUUCCUGCAAGUAGACUGACAGCUGCAUGUUUGCAGGAAAGUUAAAUAUUUUGACAGCGCAGAAGACUGCUGCAUCUGGAGGGUUCUGGGUCCAGCUAUAACCAGACUUGCCUGUCCUAAACAAAUGGAUUGACUGCUUCCGGCAUCCUCACUUUACUUCUGCAUGGUGACCAACAUCCGGAGCUUAAUUACCUGACAGCCAGGAGAUAACAAAAAUGUCAUGCCUGAGUCCCUGAUAGCAACCCCAGAGGAGCUCCAGGUUUGAGGCAGCGCUGGCAGGACGUGGUCUAUCUGCCAUCUGAAGCCCUUCAUUGCCCGCCUGGCUGUGAAUCUCACCUCCUCUGUAGUGGAAAACAGGCUGAACAGAACUGGCAGGCAGGUAAGGGACAGCAAACCUUGCAGGGAGGGCCUAGUGCUGAAGCUAAGCCAGCCCUUUGAGUUCAAGCUCAAAGACAUGUGAUGCCAGCUUUGCAGGGGAGCUAAGAUUCUUCCGAGAAAAAGCAGAAUGAGAGAGAGAUAUGCAGCUGCAGUGGAGGACUUGGAAGAGAACAACGCCAGGUCCUGGAUCCUGCAAGAAUCUCCUCUGGAAAAGCAGGGGAGAGAAAAGCAAGGAAGGAAGCAGGGUCACCGCAAGUGUGGGAUUUGUCUUAUUAAAAUCUGAUACUGUGUGGCAGUUUGCUUCACUCUUGGUAUAAAAUGUCUGAGCUCCAUGUUAAAGUAAAUGUAAGUAAUAUAAAUCUGCCUUUCCUGAGGUGAAAAUAGAUCCAUAUUAUUUAAAAUAUGAACUGAGAUAGAUGACAGUUACAAACAUUAUACUUGUUCUUAUUAUAAUUCUUACUAAGCUCAAGGAAUAAAAACUGGGAUGAUGAAAAAGAAGUUCUGAAUGUAAAAAUUGGUGUUUUGGAUAAAAUACAAACCAACCCAGAAAUGAUGAAAAAAAUCUGCCCUGCCUGACUUGCUUUGUUGCUUUGCUCAUGGAGAGUUCAGCAAUCGUGUCAUUUAUUCAUUCAUUCACUCACUCACUCACUGACUCAUUCAUUCAGCAGCUAUCCAACCGGAGCUCGCUGUGAGGCAGACACUGUGCUGGGGACACACAAAUGCAUCAGAUGUGGAGUCUGCCCUCAAUGAGCUUAUAAUCUAAUAAGAAAGAGAAGGCAAGUCCACAUGUAACUGUAGUACGAGGCAGGAUGUAAUAACUGCAGAAAGGGACAUGAAAGAAAAUGCCGUGAGGGAUUGCACCUCACUAGGGGGAGGUUUUAUUUGAACUAUCUUCUAAUGGAUGGGCAGAAUUUGGACAGUGGAAGUGGUGGGG